CUUCCCUUUAGAUAAAAGAGCCUGGAUAUUUUCUUCUUCUUUCUUGGUUAUGUGAAUGCUGGAAACAUGACUAUGGCGUUGGUAUUCUACAGUGGGACACUACCUGGAGCUGUGACAAAGGAUAUAAAGAGAAUGAUUGAUUUACUGGUUUCAGAGGUCAGAUGUCUAAAAUGGCUUCACAGGGCUGCGUUCCUUCUGGAGGCUCCAG